rnacentral:rRNA from 1 species
CCUACGGGUGGCUGCAGUGGGGGAUAUUGCUCAAUGGGGGGAACCCUGAUGCAGCGACGCCGCGUGGGUGAAGGAGCUUUUCGGCUCGUAAAGCCCUAUUGUCAGGGAAGAAAAUGACGGUACCUGACCAAUAAGCCCCGGCUAACUACGUGCCAGCAGCCGCGGUAAUACGUAGGGUGCAAGCGUUACCCGGAUUUACUGGGGGUAAAGGGGGCGCAGACGGCAAUGCAAGUCAGAUGUGAAAGCCCGGGGCCCAACCCCGGAACUGCUCUUGAAACUGCAUGGCUGGAGUACAGGAGGGGUAGGCGGAAUUCCUAGUGUAGCGGUGAAAUGCGUAGAUAUUAGGAGGAACACCGGUGGCGAAGGCGGCCUGCUGGACUGUGACUGACGUUGAGGCCCGAAGGCGUGGGGAGCAAACAGGAUUAGAUACCCGAGUAGUC